rnacentral:rRNA from 1 species
UUUGGUGGCGAUAGCGAAGAGGUCACACCCGUUCCCAUACCGAACACGGAAGUUAAGCUCUUCAGCGCCGAUGGUAGUCGGGGGGUUUCCCCCUGUGAGAGUAGGACGCCGCCAAGC